AGCCAUAUAACAUUGAAGCACUGGUUCUUGUCAGAUCACCAAAGUUAAGCAACAUCAAGCCUGGUCAGUACCUAGAUGGUUAACCAUUUGGAAAUACUAGAUGCUGUAAG